UACGUAGGUGGCAAGCGUUAUCCGGAAUUACUGGGCGUAAAGCGCACGCAGGCGGUCUUGUAAGUUUGACGUGAAAGCUCCCGGCUUAACUGGGAGAGGUCGUUGAAGACUGCAAGACUUGAGGCAAUGAGAGGGGUGUAGAAUUCCCGGUGUAGUGGUGGAAUGCGUAGAUAUCGGGGGGAAUACCAGUGGCGAAAGCGGCACCCUAGCGUUAGCCUGACGCUCAUGCACGAAAGCGUGGGGAGCAAACAGG
rnacentral:rRNA from 1 species